rnacentral:rRNA from 1 species
UAACCUGCCCCGAUGACUGGGACAACCCGGGGAAACUCGGGCUAAUACCGGAUGUGCUCUCACUACAUCAGUAGUGAAAGUAAAGAUAGCUUCGGCCUUCGCAUCGGGAUGGGCCCGCGGCGCAUUAGCUUGUUGGUGAGGUAACGGCUCACCAAGGCGACGAUGCGUAGCUGGUCUGAGAGGACGAUCAGCCACACUGGGACUGAGACACGGCCCAG